rnacentral:tRNA from 1 species
UCCUGGUGCCUAGUUGGUAAAGGAUCUGUCUUCAAUGCAGGAGACCCAGGUUCUAUACCGGGAUCAGGAA